rnacentral:rRNA from 1 species
AACGAACGCUGGCGGCAUGCCUAACACAUGCAAGUCGAACGAGACCUUCGGGUCUAUUGGCGCACGGGUUCGUAACGCGUGGGAACCUUCCCUUAUGUUCGGAAUAACUCCCCGAAAGGGGUGCUAAUACCGGAUAAUGUCUUCUGACCAAAGAUUUAUCGCCUUUGGAUGUGCCCGCGUUGGAUUAGCUAGUUGGUAGGGUAAAAGCCUACCAAGGCGACGAUCCAUAGCUGGUAUGAGAGGAUGAUCAGCCACACUGGGACUGAGACACGGCCCAGACUCCUACGGGAGGGAGGAGUGGGGAAUAGUGGAAAGUGGGGGAAAGGAUGAUCCAGCAAUGCCGGGAGAGUGAUGAAGGCAUUAGGGUUGUAAAGCUCUUUUAACCGGGAUGAUAAUGACAGUACCGGGAGAAUAAGCUACGGCUAACUACGUG